CUGCUGCCUCCCGUAGGAGUUUGGUCCGUGUCUCAGUACCAAUGUGGGGGGGUUGACCUCCCAGUCCCCCUAUGUAUCGUCGCCUUGGUGAGCCGUUACCUCACCAACUAGCUAAUACAACGCAUGUCCAUCUCUGACCACCUGAGUUUCAACCACCGAAGAUGCCUCCGGUGAUGUUAUGGGGUAUUAGUACCAAUUUCUCGAUGUUAUCCCCCUGUCAAAGGUAGUUACAUACGCGUUACGCACCGUCGCCGGUCGCCGGC
rnacentral:rRNA from 1 species